UCUAGUCCCUCUUGGAGGUU
rnacentral:misc_RNA from 1 species